AACACGUGGACAAUCUGCCCCCCGGUCCGGGAUAGCCCAGGGAAACCUGGAUUAAUACCGGAUGCGAGCGCGAGCACACAGGUGUUUGCGGGGAAAGGCGCUUCGGCGCCGCCGGGGGAUGAGUCCGCGGCCCAUUAGCUAGGCGGCGGGGUAAAGGCCCACCGUGGCGACGAUGGGUAGCCGGCCUGAGAGGGUGAUCGGCCACAUUGGAACUGAGACACGGCCAGACUCCUACGGGAGGCAGCAGCUAAGAAUCUUCCGCAAUGGGCGAAAGCCUGACGGAGCGACGCCGCGUGAACGAUGAAGGCCGUGAGGUUGGAAAGUUCUUUUCGGGAGGAGGAAUAAGCGGGGCAGGAAACGGCCUUGCGAUGACGUGAAUCCCGGAAUAAGCCCCGGCUAACUACGUGCCAGCAGCCGCGGUAACACGUAGGGGGCGAGCGUUGUUCGGAAUCAUUGGGCGUAAAGGGCGUGCAGGCGGCCCUGCAAGUCCGGCGUGAGAUGCCCCGGCUCAACCGGGGAGACGCGCUGGAAACUGCGGGGCUGGAGUACAGGAGGGGAUGCCGGAAUUCCAGGUGUAGGGGUGAAAUCUGUAGAUAUCUGGAGGAACACCAAUGGCGAAGGCAGGCAUCUGGCCAUGUACUGACGCUGAGACGCGAAGGUGCGGGGAGCAAACAGGUUUAGAUACCCUGGUAGUCCGCACAGUAAACGAUGUGCACCAGGUGGCGGGGGGGUCGACCCCCGGUACCGAAGCUAACGCAUUAAGUGCACCGCCUGGGGAGUAUGCUCGCAAGGGUGAAACUCAAAGGAAUUGACGGGGGCCCGCACAAGCGGUGGAGCAUGUGGUUUAAUUCGAUGAUACGCGAGAAACCUUACC
rnacentral:rRNA from 1 species